rnacentral:tRNA from 1 species
GCCCAGGUGGUGGAACUGGUAGACACACCAGCUUGAGGGGCUGGCGCCGCAAGGUGUGCGGGUUCGAAUCCCGCCUUGGGCA